rnacentral:piRNA from 1 species
UGAGAGUCAGAUGUAGAGGAAGCCAAAG